GACGAACGCUGGCGGCGUGCCUAAUACAUGCAAGUCGAACGCUUCUUUCCUCCCGAGUGCUUGCACUCCAUUGGAAAGAGGAGUGGCGGACGGGUGAGUAACACGUGGGUAACCUACCCAUCAGAGGGGGAUAACACUUGGAAACAGGUGCUAAUACCGCAUAACAGUUUAUGCCGCAUGGCAUAAGAGUGAAAGGCGCUUUCGGGUGUCGUUGAUGGAUGGACCCGCGGUGCAUUAGCUAGUUGGUGAGGUAACGGCUCACCAAGGCCACGAUGCAUAGCCGACCUGAGAGGGUGAUCGGCCACACUGGGACUGAGACACGGCCCAGACGCCGACGGGAGGCAGCAGUAGGGAAUCUUCGGCAAUGGACGAAAGUCUGACCGAGCAACGCCGCGUGAGUGAAGAAGGUUUGCGGAUCGUAAAACUCUGUUGUUAGAGAAGAACAAGGACGUUAGUAACUGAACGUCCCCUGACGGUAUCUAACCAGAAAGCCACGGCUAACUACGU
rnacentral:rRNA from 1 species